rnacentral:tRNA from 1 species
GGGAGUUUGGUCUAGUGGUAUGAUUCUCGCUUAGGGAUCUCUCUAGCAUGCGAGAGGUCGUGGGUUCAAUUCCCGCAACUCCCC